GAAGCAUGACUAUUGUAAAAAUUAAACUCGGAUUCUCAAGUUUCACAAGUGAUGAACUUGGAUGGAAAACUUGAAACUCUGAUAAUGUGAUUAUAUCUUUGACAGAUAUGAUUGUGGAAGACUUGGUUAAAGAAGACUUGGUUGAAGAAAACUUGGUUGAAGAAUACACGGCAAAUCACUUUGGCAGCUUUUCAAUGAAGAUGAUUGUGGAAGACUUUGUUAAAGAAGACUGACGAUUCUUGCAUUUCUUUGUAAGAAAGGGACUGGCACAAAAGGAAGUUUCGGUGAACAUCAAUUAGAAGGGAGAUCUACCUACGGCCUGCUGACAUUCUUGUUUUUGGGUGGGGAGGAGGGAAACACGCGUGUGUUGAUUUGACAGGUGUGUCCCCCCUUGUUGGGUUAAGGGACCACGGGUUUGUGGCGGGUCAGACGAUAACCAAGACGGAGGCGGGCAAAGUAGCUAAGCAUGAAAAAGCUUGCAUCGAGAAUCAACACGUGUUCGUCCCAUUCGCUUUCAAUACCUUUGGCGCUCUCGCCCCUGACGCGGUGCGGUUCCUCAAGCGGGUUCAGCAGUUGGUAAGCAAUAACACCGCACAUGUUAAGGGGCAGAAUUUUGUGAUUAGCAUGGUAGGGUUUGCUAUUCAGAAGGGAGUAGCGGCGCAGCUUGUUGCCCGUCUACCUACCAUUAGUCUGUAAUUGUCUCUGUUUUUACUGAUAAAGAAAUCCCACUUUCCAUGAUU